AUUCUGAGUUCACUGUUCAUCGGCUUAUGAACAGUGACGGCUCCCCCCGAGCCAUAAUAUGAAAAAGUCGUUUUUGUCCUCUGAUUAGUCGCUGGGUUAGAGUUCGACAGAUGAUCACCUGUCGAUUACUGGCCUUGCUCAGAAAGCGGAGGAUAUGACUCCGAUGAGUUACAACACUCUUGAAGAAACCCAUGCCCUGUCCUUGAAGCUCUCUAUCAACAGUAAUUCCAAGGCCAGUAGAUGAUCGUGCCUAAGCUUAAUCGGAAUGAUGUUGAAAGCUAUGAACAUGUCCAGAAGAUGAUUCAAGACAAGGAAUCUCCGACUACACAACCACUUCCCAAACCAGUGUUUGCAUUCCCUCUUUGAAAUGCCGUGAGGGCAUAUGGCAUGGUUGGUCCAGAUUGAACAAAAAGAUUUUGAAGGUAAAUCGUGCAAGCGGAGGGACGACAAUCAAUUGUUCAAAUUCUGUUGACCGAAAUAGUACGGAGCUUUUAUCCCAUUCAAGUGAUGAUUUCAAUGAUCAGGCAA